CGGAUGGGAGGUUGAUACCAGGACAGGUUAAGUAUAAGCCUGAAACCAGGGAGAAUACGAGCGGUAAUGAAAGCUCUUGAACACUCAGAAACCGUUGUCUUGUCAGAUCUGUCCUACUGAAGGCAUGUGGGAUCUUACCUCUCCAACCGGGGAUCAAACCUGCACCUGCUGUAUUGGAAACUGAAGUCUUAACUACUGGACCACCAGGGAAGUUCCACUCUUGAGCCUUUAAAUGUGCCAAUCCAAAUUGAGAUGUGAUGAGGCACAUAGGAUCUUAGCUCUCCCACCACGGAUGGAACCCCCACCCCUUGCACUGGAAGGAGAAGUCUUAACCACUGGACCACCAGGGAAGUCCUCUGCUGUUCCCUCUAUGGGGACACCACAUGGCUGCUCUCUCUGGAGUCCUCAGAGCAUCUCUCCAAGGGCACUUUCUCAAUGAAGCCUUCUUGGACCACACUAGUCACACUGGGACCUCACAACACUCUCUUUCCCCCUCCUCUGCUUGUUAUUCUCCAUAGCAUGUAUCACUUCCUUCCGCGGCUCCGCCUUUGGGCUGUUUAUUGGAAAUUCUUCUACCGGGCUCAGUCUUUUUAAGCCGCCGCAUACUUUCAACGGGAGGAUGGCGCUCACAGCUCCCGGUUCUCUUCCCUCGGGGACUCCGUCGUAUUUUUUUCACGCUUCGUCGCUACUACAGCAGACGCCUGCCCUCUCACUAUUUACCCCGCAGUUCUCCGGUGCCUUGACUGUAAACAAAACACUUUAGAUCAUAGCAAGGUCGGAGUAAGCACAGCCUUUCUGCUGGCAGCCAGACGUCUUAAGGUGGCGUCACUGUGACUCGUUUGGUUUUCAAGAUUAACAAAGCGACAAAAUGGUGGUCCUACAUAUUAGUUAAAGAAAUAUUAAGGGUGCGUAGGGGAUGAAAGCAUCCAUUUUUUACUUCUCUGGAAGCUAUUAAUUCCACGAAUAAAAUCAAACAUUUGUG